rnacentral:rRNA from 1 species
AGAGUUUGAUCAUGGCUCAGGAUAAACGCUGGCGGCGCACAUAAGACAUGCAAGUCGAACGGAAGUCGUCAUAAUGAAACUGAAACAGAUUUGACGAUUUAUCUGAUUUGAAGUUGAUGUAGAUUUAUGACAAUGGCUUUAGUGGCGGACUGGUGAGUAACGCGUGAGCAACCUGCCUAUCAGAGGGGAAUAACAGUGAGAAAUCAUUGCUAAUACCGCAUAUGCUAACAGUAUCGCAUGAUACAGUUAGGAAAGGAGCAAUCCGCUGAUAGAUGGGCUCGCGUCUGAUUAGCUAGUUGGUGGGGUAAUGGCUUACCAAGGCGACGAUCAGUAGCCGGACUGAGAGGUUGAACGGCCACAUUGGGACUGAGAUACGGCCCAGACUCCUACGGGAGGCAGCAGUCGGGAAUAUUGCGCAAUGGAGGAAACUCUGACGCAGUGGACGCCGCGUAUAGGAAGAAGGUUUUCGGAUUGUAAACUAUUGUCAUUAGGGAAGAUAAAAGACAGUACCUAAGGAGGAAGCCCCGGCUAACUAUGUGCCAGCAGCCGCGGUAAUACAUAGGGGGCAAGCGUUAUCCGGAUUUAUUGGGUGUAAAGGGUGCGCAGACGGAGAAGCAAGUUGGUUGUGAAAUCCCUCGGCUCAACUGAGGAACUGCAACCAAAACUACUUCCCUUGAGUGUCGGAGAGGAAAGUGGAAUUCCUAGUGUAGCGGUGAAAUGCGUAGAUAUUAGGAGGAACACCAGUGGCGAAGGCGACUUUCUGGACGAUAACUGACGUUCAUGCACGAAAGUGUGGGGAGCAAACAGGAUUAGAUACCCUGGUAGUCCACACCGUAAACGAUGGAUACUAGGUGUAGGGUGUAUUAAGCAUUCUGUGCCGCCGCUAACGCAUUAAGUAUCCCACCUGGGGAGUACGACCGCAAGGUUGAAACUCAAAGGAAUUGACGGGGGCCCGCACAAGCAGUGGAGUAUGUGGUUUAAUUCGAAGAAACGCGAAGAACCUUACCAGGGCUUGACAUAUACCGGAAAACUCAAGAGAUUGAGUCCUCCUUCGGGACUGGUAUACAGGUGGUGCAUGGUUGUCGUCAGCUCGUGUCGUGAGAUGUUGGGUUAAGUCCCGCAACGAGCGCAACCCCUAUGGUUAGUUGCCAGCACGUAAAGGUGGGAACUCUAGCCAGACUGCCGGUGAUAAAUCGGAGGAAGGUGGGGAUGACGUCAAAUCAUCAUGCCCUUUAUGUCCUGGGCUACACACGUACUACAAUGGCCGUCACAGAGGGAAGCAAUAUAGUGAUAUGGAGCAAAACCCUAAAAGCGGUCUCAGUUCGGAUUGAAGUCUGAAAUUCGACUUCAUGAAGCCGGAAUUGCUAGUAAUGGCAGGUCAGCAUACUGCCGUGAAUACGUUCCCGGGCCUUGUACACACCGCCCGUCACACCAUGAGAGUUGGAAAUACCCGAAGCCUGUGAGCUAACUUUAAUAGAGGCAGCAGUCGAAGGUAGAGUCAAUGAUUGGGGUGAAGUCGUAACAAGGUAGCCGUAUCGGAAGGUGCGGCUGGAUCACCUCCUU